rnacentral:misc_RNA from 1 species
AACGCACGAGACCUGCGGACCUGCGGAGGGAUCAUUAAUGAGAAACUGCCCCUCGCGGGUAGAUCUCCCACCCUUUGUAAACUUACCUUUGUUGCUUUGGCAGGCCCGUCUCCGGACCGCCGGCUUCGGCUGGCCAGUGCCUGCCAGAGGAUUCUAAAACUCUGUCUGUCAGUGUUGUCUGAGCCUAUAUACAAUCGUUAAAACUUUUAACAAUGGAUCUCUAGAUCGGAAGAGCACACG